rnacentral:ncRNA from 1 species
AUUACCGAGUCUAAACAACUCAUCAACCCUGUGAACAUACCUAAAACGUUGCUUCGGCGGGAACAGACGGCCCCGUAAGACGGGCCGCCCCCGCCAGAGGACCCCUAACUCUGUUGCUAUAUGUAUCUUCUGAGUAAACAAGCAAAUAAAUUAAAACUUUCAACAACGGAUCUCUUGGCUCUGGCAUCGAUGAAGAACGCAGCGAAAUGCGAUAAGUAAUGUGAAUUGCAGAAUUCAGUGAAUCAUCGAAUCUUUGAACGCACAUUGCGCCCGCCAGUAUUCUGGCGGGCAUGCCUGUUCGAGCGUCAUUACAACCCUCAGGCCCCCGGGCCUGGCGUUGGGGAUCGGCGAGGCGCCCCCCCGCGGGCACGCGCCGUCCCCCAAAUACAGUGGCGGUCCCGCCGCAGCUUCCAUUGCGUAGUAGCUAACACCUCGCAACUGGAGAGCGGCGCGGCCAUGCCGUAAAACACCCAACUUCUGAAUGUUGACCUCGAAUCAGGUAGGAAUACCCGCUGAACUUAAGCAUAUCAAUAAGCGGAGGAAAAGAAACCAACAGGGAUUGCCCCAGUAACGGCGAGUGAAGCGGCAACAGCUCAAAUUUGAAAUCUGGCUCUCGGGCCCGAGUUGUAAUUUGUAGAGGAUGCUUUUGGUGAGGUGCCUUCCGAGUUCCCUGGAACGGGACGCCACAGAGGGUGAGAGCCCCGUCUGGUUGGACAC